GUCUCUACCAUCCAAAACAACCUCCAGUGCCACCUGCGACCACCACCACACACCCUAAUCCGACCACUUCACUUGAAAACAAGCGUCUGAUGUACCACCAGACCUGGCACCUCCACUCGCCGGACCACCAACAUCGAUUCCUCUAGCGACAUCGAAGAUAUAGGAUUCUGAAGAUGUCGGAUCGUUGUCAUCGGAUAGAUCUGAGCCGAAACAGCUUAAUGUGAUCUGAAAACAGGUUCCGUCAGUGACGGUUGUUCUCCGGCUCUCUGUUCACUCAUUUUCGAUUGGGGGUAUGUGAAAGUAUGAUUGAAGUUAAAUCUGAGUGAUUUGUGUGUUGAUUUAGAAAUCUUCAUUUAUUGGAAGUAAACAAAAGCUUCAAGAAAUCUUCAAUUUUUAGAAAUUUGCAAUUUUUAGAAAUCUUCAUUUUUUUUUCCGUUGUCUUCUUGUAAAGCAUUUAAAUUUGACACCUUACUUUUUUGGAGUUUUAGUUAGUGUUGGUGAUGAAUAAAAUUGGUGGAAUUAUCAAAGAAAUUGAUUUGAUUGUGAUCGAUUAGUGGGGAAAUUGAUCUGAUUAUGAUGAAUUUUGAACCUGAUUGUAAGCUUUUUUAGAGAGAGAGAGAGAGAGAGAGGGGGAGAGAGGGUAUUUAUAUUUGUUUUUAUAAUAAGUUAUUAAAUACUAUAAAUAAUUAAGUAAAAAGAUUAAAUUGCCCUUAUAUGAAUAGAUUUGACUGAAAAAUUUAAUCUGGUUAAUGCUAAAGGACGUAGUGUAUAAUGAGUUUUACAAAUAAAGGAUUGUGACUGUAAUUAUUGAAGUUAAAGGUCAUCCAUUGCAAUCUGAUACAAACAUAAAGGACGAAAAGUAUAAUUUACCCGAUAUUUAUUGUGUUGUGCUUGGUUCGGUUAUUAUCCUUGACCGAAGUUGAAACCAAAGUCAUCGGUUAGUCUAUUUUAUUAACCAAUUGGUUUUCAGUUAAUCAUUUCGGUUUAUUCGGUUAGAUUGUUGGUUUUUUGUUUGUUUCAUUUAAUUUUAGUUAAUAUCAAAAACCAAACUUUGGCUAAAACUUUUGCUUAGAAAUAUAUUAAAUUGAGGUAUAAAUACAUGAAAUAGAAGUAUAAAAAUAUGAAAUGGAGAUAUAACAUAUGAAAUAUAUGAACCAAAGGUAUAAA
rnacentral:lncRNA from 1 species